AUGCUGCCCGAUUUGUUCUGCGCAUGUCAAAUGUUUUACGACACACGUCACUCGUCAGGUUUGAAUUGUACUUGCGAGUCAUUUUUGUGUUGACGUUUAUUUUCCGUCUGUAAGUGGACUUCUUACUGGAAAAGAUGGCAACCUUUGAAUUUUGUAACGUCUUGGAAGAAUAUUUGUCGCCUGAAAAUUUUAACUCCAUUCGAAUGAAGAGGGAGCGAAAUGAAAUGCGACAUAUGUCUGUGAACUUUAUAAUUGAUACGUAUAGCUUUUUGAUGCCCGGUGGUAACCAGCCUUCCAAGUGGCUGAACAGAUGCCAGUGUUCCCAAAUUCUGAGACACAACUGGAUGUCCUUUUCUUCUGCUUUUAAGAUUUCCAAUUCAAGAUGAUGUGCAGUUCAUUUUAGAUUUGCUGUUUCUACAGUUACAGUGAAGUAGAAGAGUCUGGCUGUGUUAUGGGGCAGCAGUUAAAGAAGAAGGAAGGAGAGAUGUGUGCCCUGUUGAAGUAGUGGCUGGUCCUCCUGCCCGCACUUCUGGAAUCCUCCAUCUCAACCUCUGUUCUGAUCUGCUGUGCCUUUGCCAAGUGAUCACGAGGUAUUGGACUAUUUUGGGUUUUUUUUCUUCUGGAAACUGUCUCAGUCUCAUUACACUGGCUGCCUGUCUCACAUAGAAUUGAUUUCAAGGUUCUAUUAAAUAUAUAGAAGGCUUUGAGUAUUUCAGAUCCUGCCAGUAUUUUGGAGUGUCUGCUCCCAACAUUUCUUUUCUCAAACAUUGCUUUGCUUUUUAUUCCAAGAUCAACCAUAAAAACCGGCAGCUUUCUGUACUCAUGUAACAAAAUCUGCAAUACUUUCCCAAUAGAGAAGUGCCAGGCUACAAAUGUUGAUCAUUUCAAAAUUUCAAAUUUGGCUUUUUCUUAAUUACUUGCAUUGGUUGUAAUAGAUUAGAAAUGGUACUGUGUACAGUUUGUCAGAUCUGCACUGGGCAGUAACUUCUGCUGUGUUUCUCUGUUGUCUUUCUCCAGUUUAUUGCAGUGGUGCCCACCUGUGUCUCCACUGUCUGUUACAUCAACUCAAACUGCCUGUGCUGCCGGAGAGAAGAAAAGUUCACAAGACGUCCUGAAAUGGAAUUGUGAUCGGACUGAGACGGCCACAAUUAUGUAUGCUGGGAAGCGCAGAGGGGGCUGUGUAGACUAUGGCUUGGGACCCCCAGAGGUUUAUUAUCUCUGGCAACCUUGAAAGCUGCAAGUUUGUCUUUGUCCCCAGCCAUUUGACCAGGCAAUGUAUUUAUUACAAAGGACAAGGACCCAUCCAUUUGCUUCUUAUUUACUUUUAUAAUGUCUUCAAUUUUCUUUGUAACUGUAUAUUUUUGUGGCACAAUUUGAGCUACACUUGUAAGCAAAGGUGAUAUAGAAAUAUUAUUAGUGAACAAAUGUUAAGGGACAGAUCAGGAAAAAUGCCAGUUUAAAUAGAACACAUUUUUAUGGAAUAUUGCUGGAUAAUAACUCUGACUCUGAGUAGUAUCUUGUUCAUAAAGCUAAAGUAGCAUUUUUCCUUUUUUGACAAAUUUAAUUAUUCACUUUUAUUGUGUUCAAAGCCUUGGCUAACAUUUUUUUUAAUACCAAGGUAAAAAUCUGUAAAUAUGUUUGUGUUCCCUUUCCCUAAUAGUUUUUAACACCUCCCCUUGUUGGCCAUUUUCAUUGUAUUUGUGUUCUAGUUAAAUGCGUUUAUCAUUUAUACAUC